GAUGAACGCUGGCGGCGUGCUUAACACAUGCAAGUCGAACGAUGAAGCCCAGCUUGCUGGGUGGAUUAGUGGCGAACGGGUGAGUAACACGUGAGUAACCUGCCCUUGACUCUGGGAUAAGCCUGGGAAACUGGGUCUAAUACUGGAUAUGACUUCUCAUCGCAUGGUGGGGGGUGGAAAGAUUUAUUGGUCUUGGAUGGACUCGCGGCCUAUCAGCUUGUUGGUGAGGUAAUGGCUCACCAAGGCGACGACGGGUAGCCGGCCUGAGAGGGUGACCGGCCACACUGGGACUGAGACACGGCCCAGACUCUUACGGGAGGCAGCAGUGGGGAAUAUUGCACAAUGGGCGCAAGCCUGAUGCAGCGACGCCGCGUGAGGGAUGACGGCCUUCGGGUUGUAAACCUCUUUCAGUAGGGAAGAAGCGAGAGUGACGGUACCUGCAGAAGAAGCGCCGGCUAACUACGUG
rnacentral:rRNA from 1 species